rnacentral:rRNA from 1 species
UACGUAGGGUGCAAGCGUUAAUCGGAAUUACUGGGCGUAAAGCGUGCGCAGGCGGUUUUGUAAGUCUGACGUGAAAUCCCCGGGCUCAACCUGGGAAUUGCAUUGGAGACUGCAAGGCUAGAAUCUGGCAGAGGGGGGUAGAAUUCCACGUGUAGCAGUGAAAUGCGUAGAGAUGUGGAGGAACACCGAUGGCGAAGGCAGCCCCCUGGGUCAAGAUUGACGCUCAUGCACGAAAGCGUGGGGAGCGAACAGG